UACGAAGGGGGCUAGCGUUGUUCGGAUUUACUGGGCGUAAAGGGUGCGUAGGCGGGUCUUUAAGUCAGGGGGGAAAUCCUGGAGCUCAACUCCAGAACUGCCUUUGAUACUGAGGAUCUUGAGUUCGGGAGAGGUGAGUGGAACUGCGAGUGUAGAGGUGAAAUUCGUAGAUAUUCGCAAGAACACCAGUGGCGAAGGCGGCUCACUGGCCCGAUACUGACGCUGAGGCACGAAAGCGUGGGGAGCAAACAGG
rnacentral:rRNA from 1 species